CUCGGCCUACGGGGGGCAGCAGUAGGGAAUUUUCGUCAAUGGGCGCAAGCCUGAACGAGCAAUGCCGCGUGAACGAGGAAGGUCUUCGGAUCGUAAAGUUCUGUUGAAGGGGAAAAAGAGCGGAGAGAGGAAAUGGUCUCCGAUCGAUAUUACCCUUCGAGGAAGUCACGGCUAACUACGUGCCAGCAGCCGCGGUAAUACGUAGGUGGCAAGCGUUAUCCGGAAUUAUUGGGCGUAAAGGGUGCGUAGGCGGCCUGCUAAGUCUGGAGUGAAAG
rnacentral:rRNA from 1 species